rfam:Myotis brandtii contig310164, whole genome shotgun sequence.
UGUGGUUCUCGGGCGAUGCACCCUGGAAUGGGGCUCCCUCCUCUCUGGUUCUGGGUACGUCACCAGAGAACCACC